rnacentral:rRNA from 1 species
CCUACGGGAGGCAGCAGUGGGGAAUAUUGCACAAUGGGGGAGACCCUGAUGCAGCGACGCCGCGUGAAUGAAGAAGUCAUUCUUUAUGUAAAGCUCUAUCAGCAGGGGAGAAAAUGGCGGUACCUGAGUAAGCAGCCCCGGCUAACUACGUGACAGCAGCCGCGGUCCUACGUCGGGGGCAAGCGUUAUCCGGAUUUACUGGGUGUAACGGGAGCGUAGACGGCAGUGCAGGUCUGGAGUGAAAGGCGGGGGCUCAACCCCCGGACUGCUCUGGAAACUGUAGGGCUGGAGUGCAGGAGAGGUAAGCGGAAUUCCUAGUGUAGCGGUGAAAUGCGUAGAUAUUAGGAGGAACACCAGUGGCGAAGGCGGCUUACUGGACUGUAACUGACGCUGAGGCUCGAAAGCGUGGGGAGCAAACAGGAUUAGAUACCCUAGUAGUC